rnacentral:misc_RNA from 1 species
ACCAUAAGGUUGUGGAGACGUUGAUUUUUAUAAAAAUUACCCCCAAGAAUGAGAUUAAUCAGACACCAGAUUUCAGUACAAUUCAGAUGUUAAGUAUUCAAGCAAAAGCAUCUUGCACAAUCUAAACACCUAAAUUCUUUGUCCUUCAUAGAUGAACAAGAGCUGUAUUUACAAAAAUCAACGUCUCCACAACCUUAUGGUAUUGAUCAAGCACUAAACCACCCAAAACAUCAAGAGAGCCAAAUAGAAGUCAAAACAGCCAGAAAAGAUCCAGAGUGCACAUCAGAAUACAGAAAUGACACACGAUAGAAGUCACAUAAGAGCAUUUGUGUCAAUGCUUGUUGUUAGUUGAAGAUGGAAAUGUGCCACUGGAGAUCAGUGUCUGUCAUACACCUGAUACAAGAUUUCUAACAUGCAACCUC